AUCAAACUGAUGAGUCCCGAAUAGGACUAAACACACGUUCUGGAU
rnacentral:hammerhead_ribozyme from 1 species